UCUUGAACUCAGUAAAAUUUAAUAGAAUUGAUAAAACCUCAAUUAUAAGAAUAUUCAGAUAUUAUUUUAACCUACAGAAGGAGCAUGUGGUCAAGACUACAGAAAGUUGAAAUUAUAAUGGUGCAGGAAAUUGGAGAGACAUGAUGAAGAUUACAUCAUUAAAGAGUUUGGAGUAGGAAGCCUCUAAUAUAACACUGAGCUGGAAAAUCAGAAGUAGGAAGAAAGAAAAAGAUGUUUUCUCUUAUCCUGCACACUCACUUUCUACUUCAAAAUGAAAAGG